GACGAACGCUGGCGGCGUGCUUAACACAUGCAAGUCGAGCGGAAAGGCCACUUCGGUGGUACUCGAGCGGCGAACGGGUGAGUAACACGUGAGUAAUCUGCCCUUGGCUUCGGGAUAGCCACCGGAAACGGUGAUUAAUACCGGAUAUGACCACUUCACGCAUGUGAUGGUGGUGGAAAGUUUUUCGGCCAGGGAUGUGCUCGCGGCCUAUCAGCUUGAUGGUGAGGUAAUGGCUCACCAUGGCUUCGACGGGUAGCCGGCCUGAGAGGGUGACCGGUCAACCUGGGACUGAGACACGGCGCAGACUCCUACGGGAGGCAGCAGUGGGGAAUAUUGGACAAUGGGCGGAAGCCUGAUCCAGCAACGCCGCGUGAGGGAUGACGGCCUUCGGGUUGUAAACCUCUUUCGCCUGUGACGAAGCGCAAGUGACGGUAACAGGUAAAGAAGCACCGGCCAACUACGUGCCAGCCGCCGCAGUAACAC
rnacentral:rRNA from 1 species